CCACAAUGAGGACAGCUAACGUCUCAUAUGAUGCCGUCAAUCAAAAUUAGGACACCAGCAUUGAAGGACCAUAAACGUCUCCCUGAGGCAUGGCGGGCGGAGCCCUACAUUGCUCCGCAGUCCACAUCCCAGACUACCCACUUGGAAAGGAGGAUGGCGCUGUGCUGCUUUUGGUAUUACUGCACCCCUCUAUCAGUGGUACAGAACAAGUAACUUGAAGGGGGAAUCCAAAGAGACAUUGCAGAACAUUAGAACAUUAGGACACUUGCAGGAGAGAGCAGUUGACCACCAGCACGUGCAGGCUCAGUGGAUGAUGUCAUCGAGUGAGGAGAACCCUUCUCUAUUUCUGCCUCAGCUCCGUGUUUGGUAACACGAGGGAAGCCAGAACACAGAGCUGUCAUAUAUAGUGCUUUGGGUUUAGACCCUCUUUCCAACCUGUUUUUGUUUAUGAUUUCACACGUUAACUGCCAGCAACCACACCACCAGUAUCCUGUCAGGAUGCAUGGCUGCUUAGAUGGACUGAAAGAAUAUACGAAAAAACUUAAAUCGUUCAGCUAGUCAAGCAGUAAAUCAAUAAAUCAACCAAUCAGUUACAUAUUACGUGACAUAGUAUUGU